CAGAGCUAAUGGCAAGAAACAGAUGGAGAAUGAAGGGUGAGGGGCUAAGGCCAUCUGAUGAGGUGGGAGCAGGGUGACGACAGGAGUGACAGACUGUCCUGUCAGGGGUUUGUGCAGACUGGAUACAUCAGGCCAUCAGGAGCUCCACUCCCUCAGACACCUCCCCGGACAGUCAAACUAACCCACCUCAUCAAGGCACUGGCCCAGACUACUGAAGAGCUACUCUAAUCCACCACCACGAUCCGUUCUGACCCUGGUGAGGUUGCAGUGAUGACACACUUUCUUUUUACUACACUGAAAGAGCCUCACCAGCAUGUGGUUUCUCUAAUGGGGAAUAAUGCCC